GACGAACGCUGGCGGCGUGCUUAACACAUGCAAGUCGAACGGAAAGUCCCGGCUUUUGUGGGGUGCUCGAGUGGCGAACGGGUGAGUAACACGUGAGUAACCUGCCCUUGACUUUGGGAUAACUUCAGGAAACUGGGUCUAAUACCGGAUAGGAGCUCCUGCUGCAUGGUGGGGGUUGGAAAGUUUCGGCGGUUGGGGAUGGACUCGCGGCUUAUCAGCUUGUUGGUGGGGUAGUGGCUUACCAAGGCUUUGACGGGUAGCCGGCCUGAGAGGGUAACCGGACAAAUUGGGACUGAAAUACGGCCCAGACUACUCCGGGAGGCAGCGGUGGGGUAUAGUGCACAAUGGGCGGAAGGCUGAUGCAGCCACGCAGCGUGCGGGAUGACGGCCUUCGGGUUGUAAACCGCUUUCGCCUGUGACGAAGCGUGAGUGACGGUAAUGGGUAAAGAAGCACCGGCUAACUCCGUG
rnacentral:rRNA from 1 species